rnacentral:lncRNA from 1 species
AAGACCGCAUCAACCACGAUCUUUCCCCUACUCAGACUCGAAAAAGGACGAAUUCGCAGCUUAACAGUUGGUAAUUCACCACAGGAGAACUCUUCACUAUGAGGACCAAAAGAGCAUGACUCUAAUGUAAUACUUAAAGGUGAUAUUCUUCGAACCCUACCAAAAUCAAGUUCACGCUGAACAUAUUCACUCAAUAAUGCACAAACAGAAGGCAAAAGCUUUGCUUCAAUACUGGGUGGAGAACGAGAGAGAGAGAGAAAGGUGAUAUUCUUCGAACCCUACCAAAAUCAAGUUCACGCUGAACAUAUUCACUCAAUAAUGCACAAACAGAAGGCAAAAGCUUUGCUUCAAUGUAACUCUUUGCUUUCAACUGUCCAUACCAUAGAAGUAAACACACUCCAGAU